rnacentral:tRNA from 1 species
NNCGAGUGGCCAAAGGGAUCAGACUGUAAAUCUGACGGCUCCGCCUUCGAAGGUUCGAAUCCUUC